ensembl:snRNA U6 U6 spliceosomal RNA
UUCACAGUGGCACAUACUAAAAUUGGAACAAAACAAAGAAGAUUAGCAUGGCUUCUGUGCAAGGAUGACAUGCAAAUUCAUGAAGUGUGCCAUACUUUG